UUCCAGCUUUCCAAUUGGUAGAGCAUUGUACUAACAAUGCAAAGGCUGUGGGUUCAAAUCCCAGGGAAA